rnacentral:lncRNA from 7 species
AGGCAAAGAGGCCAGGGUUAGACAACAGGUUGCUUCUUUGAAUUUCUGAGUACAUCGUGGUGUCCUGGGAAGUGGGCUGUUGGUUUGGUGUUUCACAACCCCUGAGGUAUACUGGGAUCUUCACAGAAGACACAAACCUUGAUAAAUAGCAAGUGAUUAUCAUCUCAAGCUCUGGUCCCACAAUUUGCUAUAGGAGCAGUACUUCCAUCUGUGCUGAGCCUUAUCUGCUUCAAGGUCUCAGUCACAUAAAGAGCUCUCUGCAGGAGGAUGCCGGGCUUCAAUAGUUCCUUGUUCUGAGAUAGAUCCCUAUCUUGGAAGAGCUUCUUCUGUGCAAAGGGCCUGUGAUUGAGCUACGACACAACUGGCAAACGUUCUGCAAAGGGACAUGGGAGUUACUGUGGGGCAGUGGGCUUGUGUGUGCUCUGUUAGUUGUUUGUGCAUCUUCCUGCUCUGCAAAAAAGCAACAGAGGAGUUCUUUGUCACAAUAAGCUUGAGUUCCAUUUUUUUGAAGAAAUAUUGUGUACUGUAUGUAAUGAGGACCCAUGUAAUCAGGACACCUGCGUUCUAGUAUGUUGCCUGGGGAACCAAUUUAGCCUAAUGACAGUGAAUGACAUUUACUGCUGCUUAGACUACUGCUUAAUUUAAACAAUAGUGCAUUAGCAAUAUUUAACUUAAUGGGGAUGUAUUGGCUUAUGCCAGUGGGUUAAGUAAUGUUUAACUAGGUGUUAAAUAGGUAAUAAUAGAAUAAUACUUUGACUUGUAUAGUGCCAAUACAUUCUACCUGAGAAUCUGCAAGUGUUACAGCAUUGUACCUUACCCUGUCCCUUGUGAAAGAGGGAAUAAUUUUGCACUUCUUCUAGAGAUGUGCAGAGCAGCUGAAUCUGUUCAGUUGUCUUCAGUUUAACAUCUAGAUGGAAAUAAACUGAUACUACCU